GACGAACGCUGGCGGCGUGCCUAACACAUGCAAGUCGAACGGAAAGGCCCUGCUUUUGUGGGGUGCUCGAGUGGCGAACGGGUGAGUAACACGUGAGUAACCUGCCCUUGACUUUGGGAUAACUUCAGGAAACUGGGGCUAAUACCGGAUAGGAGAUCCUGCUGCAUGGUGGGCGUUGGAAAGUUUCGGCGGUUGGGGAUGGACUCGCGGCUUAUCAGCUUGUUGGUGGGGUAGUGGCUUACCAAGGCUUUGACGGGUAGCCGGCCUGAGAGGGUGGCCGGCCACAUUGGGACUGAGAUACGGCCCAGACUCCUACGGGAGGCAGCGGUGGGGAAUAUUGCACAAUGGGCGGAAGCCUGAUGCAGCAACGCCGCGUGCGGGAUGACGGCCUUCGAGUUGUAAACCACUUUCGCCUGUGACGAGGCGUGAGUGACGGUAAUGGGUAAAGAAGCACCGGCUAACUACGUG
rnacentral:rRNA from 1 species